rnacentral:rRNA from 1 species
CUACGGGAGGCACCAGUUAGGUAUAAUCUACAAUGCGCGCAAGCGUGAUAGUUUGAACCAGAGUGCGUUUCUAUUGAAAUGCUUUUGCCGAAUGUAAAAAGUUCGGCGAAUAAGGACUGGGCAAGACUAGUGCCAGCCGCCGCGGUAAUACUAGCUGUCCGAGUCGCAGCCACAAUUAUUGGGUCUAAAACAUCCGUAGCUUGCUUAGUAAGUUUCCUGUGAAAUCCGGCUUCUUAAGAGUCGGGCGCGCAGGAAGUACUGCCAAGCUAGAGACUGGGAGACGGAAGAAGUACGUUCAAAGUAGCGGUAAAAUGUUUUAAUCUUGAAUGGACUAACAAUAGCGAAGGCAUCUUUCGAGAACAGUUCUGACAGUCAGGGAUGAAGGCUAGGGUCGCGAAAUGGAUUAGAUACCCGCGUAGUC